CUGUGCCAGGUGCUGUGAGACAAGCUGCAAGCAACUGCAAGUUAUGAGAACGGUGCCUUGUUGUGCUUAGCAUUUAUUUGUACCGCUCUAUAUAAAUGGCUGUGUGCAGUCAUUAAAUGGCUUGGCUGCUAGAAACCAUAUGAGUGUGUGGCCUCGUCCCUCGCCUCAUCUCAGCUGAUUAUUGCUCUCCAGGGGAUCUCGGACUUGUUGUUUGUCAACAAGAUUCUUCAGGAAUUGUGAAAAUUUCUGGAAAUGAAGAUUUCUUUGAAGGAUUUUUAUCUUAAAAUGGAACAAGGCUGUUUUCACUUAAAGAUUUCCUCAAGAAGCCUAUCAAUAGAGUUACACAUCCAUUACAGCUUUAAAAUUUUGAAGUAAGUCUAAGUGCAUGCAAGCUCAUUUGUUAGACUGGAUGCAACACUGUCAUUAUAUUCAUAAGGUGCCAAAGCACUGAAACAAGUUGCCCAGAGAGUCUGUGGAGUGUUCUUCCCCGGAGAUAUUCAAGAUCUGUUUGGACAUAACCCUGGGUUAGGUGCUCUCUGUGGCCCUGCUUGAGCAUCUGGGGUUGGACCAAAUGAUCUCCAGAGGUCCCUUUCAACCUCAGCCAUUCUGUGAUUCUGUGACUAGAUCAAUAUUUCAUUCUCGAAUUAAUACUCUUUUCUUAGAUAUGCUAUUAUUGUAUUUCUUUACUUUCUAUUCACUUAUACUCUGUUACAAGAUUUAGGCUCUGAUAAAUAGUUUUAUAGCUCUGUUAUUAUGCAAACCAUUUUGAGGUCAUUCGAAGGUAUUUUAUGGGAAAAUUUUGAGAUGUAGUUUAAUCUUUUAAUUUUCAUCAUGUAAAUGCUUAUUCCUACAACAAAGCUUCAUUAUAUCUUUAUAUUUCCCACAUCUUUCAUAACUGUACAUAAAUUCCAAAAAUUAGAGUACAGCUAUAUGAAAUAAGUAAGCUUCUGUGAUGCCUGCUAUUAAAGAAGAACAAGUUUUAAAACUGAACACUUUUGUGUCUCUGAAAUUUAGCUAUCUCAUUCCUUUAAGUCAUUUAUUGUAGAAUACAUUAGAUUGCUUCUUAGGACAUUUGACAGUGCUAAAAUAUUAGCUCAUUUUUGCAGUGCAAAAGUCAACAAACUAUUUCUGUGCAAGUAUGUAAGUCAUCUGUGUUAUUACCAUGUGUUUCAUUUUUAUUAUGAUUGAUGUCAUUGCAAUAAAUACAUGAGCAACCCCUAG
ensembl:lncRNA